rnacentral:rRNA from 1 species
UACGGGGGGGGCAAGCGUUGUUCGGAAUUGCUGGGCGUAAAGGGCUCGUAGGCGGCCAACUAAGUCGGACGUGAAAUCCCCAGGCUCAACCUGGGAACUGCGUCCGAUACUGGAUGGCUUGAAUCCGGGAGAGGGAUGCAGAAUUCCAGGUGUAGCGGUGAAAUGCGUAGAUAUCUGGAGGAAUACCGGUGGCGAAGGCGGCAUCCUGGACCGGCAUUGACGCUGAGGAGCGAAAGCCAGGGGAGCAAACGGG